rnacentral:lncRNA from 1 species
CACGCUCUCGCCGCCCGCCCGCUCGCUCAGCGCUGGGACACGCGCGGCCAGACACGCACACACGCACGCACACACACUCUCACACACGCAGAGGCACAGGGGGGAAAGAAGCCGGUGAAUAAUUUUGUUACUAUUUUUUAAAAUACUGGCCGCCAUCAUCAUCAAGCAACCAGCAGCAGCCAGCUCAAAGGGAGAGAAGGCAUGGGGCAGGGCCCUGUAGGAGAGGAUUUAUAUCUAGGUGAAAAAAAAAAAGAAAAGAAAGAAAAGAAAAAGAAAAAAAAUUGUCAAGCCCCCGAACUGAAGGUUACGAGCGGCCAGUCAGCAGCCCACAUGUAACCGAACUGUCGAGUUUCAUGGCUUUUUGCCACUCCAGCUGUCAAUCAAAGCCCGGAAUGUCAAGGAUUGUUCAAAGAAAGCAAGGAGAAAACCAAGAAAAAAAUGAAUAGUUUGCAAAAAUUGGACUUCCUCCCCCCCUCUCUGGUGUUGGCAGGUUGGCUGCAGCCGGGCUUAUAGUAGAGCCUCAGUUUGGCGGCGCGGGUCGGCGGCGGGAGAACGAAAUGACGGAACCCGGAAGUCGUGGUGGCCAUAGCCCGUCCUACGGCGGAGACACAUCCCGAGAGUGGGGAGCUGGAGCGAGGAGGAGCGCGCAGCGCGGAGCCUCUGAUAUGCACCGCCACCAGGCAGCUGGCAGCGCGACCCAGCCACGCACUGGGAGCGCGCCCUCUCCCCAACUUCUCACCCUCGCCCUGGGUUCCGGGCCCCAGGCCCAGAGAAUAGCAAACAGAGAGGCCCGGAGAGCGCGCCGGGAGAGGGGUUGCAGCCCGUGCGAGUUUGGCUCCAGUGGCCAAAGCAGGGAAGGCGGCCUCGGGGACCUUCUGGGAGCAGAGUCCAGCCAAGGGUUUCCCUCUCUUUCCGCUUCAAGCCCAAGACAGCAGAGCAGUUUGGAACCCGAAGGACUAUAUGGUCCUUUCCCCCUCCCCCACCACUUUUUUCCCCCCUAGAAGAACUUCAAGAUUACAAAUAUCCGUCUCAUUUGAUGCUGAAUUACUCGUGGACAGAUAAGAAAAGGGUAAAAGAGAGGGAAAGAGAGAGAGGGAGGUGAGACACACACAGAGACAGACACAGAAAGGAGAGACACAGAAUAUGAGAGAAUAUUUGGCCUGGCUGAAGACCGUUUUCUGCUUCACAGAGUUGUGAAUGAUACUGGAUCCAAGUUGUCGGCCCAGCACUGUUGGCAGAGUUUACAUUCAGUUUUGAUUCCUCUAAUUGUUCUUAAUUUCAACAUUGGCUAUUUAGUAUCGCCAGUAAGAUUUUUGCUCUUUUUAAAUCCUGGUUAAAUAAACGCCAGUUAGGAAGUUUCUUUUUCAAAGGAACACGGGUUUCCGAGAUAAACGCUUCUUUUGUAAAGAACAACUUCGUGAGAAACCUCUGCAUCUUCCUGUAAGCAUGCUUAGCUCUUUUUUUCCACAGCGGUUCGCAGCCCCCACCCCCACCCCAACCCCAGCUUGUUGAUAUUGUAAAGCGAUUUAAUUUCCCGGUAACCUUUAUUUAGUAAAACUUCUUUAGCAUUAAGAAAAAACAGCAUUAAUAAAGUUUCUCCCUGAGUUAAAAACAAAAAUCCAAGUUGAUUAUUUCUAUUUUCUAAAGCAAUCGUUAAGGAAAUAAUGGCUUGAUGAAGGGUGGUAAUUUGGGGUUUUACAAAGAAAAAUGCUAACCCCGAUUUAUACUGUGGGCAGUGCAGACGGAGCUUAAACUUGAACCUCUUCCUCUCCUUCACCACGUAACUUCUUAUGAAUUUUGGCAAAUGCCUUAAAGCAAACAAGAGGACAAUCUGGUCAGAUGUAGGGGGCAGAAAGGAAGGACAUUUUAAGAAAAGCGAGAAUUUUUAGGGAGACUUUUAGAGUUAAGAAGUGUGAGGUGGUUGAAAAUAGCAUGCUGGUGAAGGCCUUUUGGCUUUGAAAUUCACUUUAUCUAAAAGGAGCGGCUGCUUUCACUGAAGAGAUGGGUUACACAGAUGCACGCUAUUGGUAAAACUCUUAGUUUAAAUGUUAGUUUUUGUACUCCUCUAAACUCUGGGAUUCACGUGGCCAGAAGGCUUGUUAGGAACUCCUAACGGCUUCGAAGUAGAAAGGAGGCUACAUCUCCUAACAUACCUAAAAGGUGUGUAGUGCAGGCAUGAGCAACUUUCCUUUGUAAGUGUUCUGAACGAAAGAACGAGGCUCUACUCUGGACCUCUUUAUAUACAAAUGACAAACAGAAUGGAAAAUAGCAGAAAGGGUGCCCUACUACCAGCUCUACUCCCUAAGAAUUUUUCUCACUCACCCCCCAUUUAUGAGGGAAGAAAGCACAGUUUGGGUGUAAUUAAUUGAAGAUUGUUAUUAGGUCAUCAUUAGUCAAAGUGCAAAUAAUUGCUCCCCAUUUUUACUUAAAAUUGACCAGCCUGAGAGUGAUAGAUCGAUUCAGAGGAUAAAAAUGAUGUAUCAAAACAUCAAUGUCGAUUAUUUGAAAUAUUGUAGUCGAAUUUUUUUUAUUGCUUCAUCGGUUAAGUGUCUGAAAGUGCGGUGUUCAAACAUAUAUUUAUGUUGUCAAUACUGUCAGAAUUGUCAGUUUUACUAUACCGGAUAUGUACUACAUUUCAAAUUUGUUCAUUUGCAUAAAAUGCCCACCCUAGGAUUCCCCCCACCCCACCCCUCUCUGGAAAAUCCCUGUCAGCUUUUUCAAAGGAUUCUGCAAUCUUUGCCUAAGCUAAAGUGGUCACUGCUUCUCAACUCAAAUCUCCAGGAUGGACUCCACGUCCUUUUCGCAUUUGUUUAACCUUGGAAGAGGCACUUCCUUCCUUUUGCCCAACUCUGCUCUUCUUCAAGAGAGCGCUGGAGAAAUACAAACGCCACAUUCUAGGUAAUAGGUACAGCAUUUGGGUAGGACAACUGGACCAAACGGACUCUACUUUCUUGGCUACACUCAGGUCUGUUUGGACAUUCAAAGAAGCUACACAUACAAAGAUGGUUUGGCUCGGUGCCGUCAGACACAGCACUUUGAAGAAAAAAAACACAGAAAGAAAGAAAGGAAGGAAAGAAGGAAGGAAGGAAGGACAGAAGGAAGGAAGGAAGGAAAGAAGGAAAGAAGGAAGGAAGGAAGGAAGGAAGGAAGGAAGGAAGGAAGGAAGGAAGGAAGGAAAAAUGUCUGAGCGUUUCCAUGCUCAUCUUUGCCUCAAAUAAGGCUUUUGAUAUCAACAACCUGAGGCAAGUGAAGUGGAAGUUUCUGGAUAUGUCAGGUGAUGCAGAUUCGACUCACAUGGUCUUUUGCUGAUACAGACUCAUUUGCCAUCUGAGGCAAGACCCCUGGGAGGACACAUGAUGCUUGGAGAGAGUAUAAAUAGGACUCAACGUGUAGUGAUGGAGUGCUUGCAUAGCUAGCUUUGCAAUGCUUUCGUGGCCUCAGUCUUCCUCUUCACUUCAUGGAGAUUGGCAUGUCAGAUAACUUCUCCUGUUGUCCCAUCUGGACCUGGUUACUCCUGCUGACUCCUGACAAUUUGGUGGAGGCCUGGCAGUUUCUGCUGGACCGUGCCACUGCUACUGAUUCAUGUUUGGUAUCCUGACACUACUGAACUGGACUGCUGGUAUCCUACAACGGAGAUUGGAACUGCCUCAAAGAACUACUUCUAAACAGGUCCACAUCCCUGUGUCCUUUUUACCAUCUCUUCUCCCCUACCUUUAGGCAGUGGGCUAGAUGGGGGGGGGGUGUUGAAGCAUUUGUAAGCCCUUACUAAAAGUUGUUUUCUUAAAAAAAUUUAUGCCUACAGGCAAAAAAUCCUGAAAAUAUCUGACAUUUCAGGGCAACUUCUGUUGUUUCUUCAACACUCUCUUUACUUUGUCCUUCUAGUUUUCUGAGCCUAGGGUUGGCAUGAAUGGUUUAAGAAUUCUACAGUAGAUGAUAUGCCUUCUUUAUUAGCAUGGCCAGAAUGGGUCAAGGUUGGUUUGGCUAUUGAUUCCUAGGGUCCCAGUGGGAUGGUUGCAAAUCAAGCCUAUUCUCAUAAUUAUCUUUCUGGGCUCAGGUAACCAUGUCCUCCUCUGUCUUUGGUGCACUGCACUUCCCCUUGUGACUUACUUAAAACCCUGCUCACACCUUUUACCUCUAGUUCUAUUCUUUAUUAAAUUCUCAAAUUACCCAGUUUUGAUCUUGUACCAUCUGCUUACUGCUGGACUCUGGUACCAUGCUGUAUUUGGAGGACUUACACUAAGUGAGCUAAUGCAUGCAAUACACACACACACACACACACACACACACACACACUCCCUUGCAUUUAGCAAAAGUUUAAUAAGUAAGACACUAUGUUAUUUUACAAUCAUUAUUUGGUACAACUUUCUUAUUUUAUAUGUGAAGAAAUUAAGCCCCAGAGCAGGUAAUUAAUGCAUUCUAGUCCUAAUUAAUUUGAAAGAGUAACAACCCAGGGACUAAAUCUCUGGACUGUGGCCCCAACAUCACUGUUCCUUACAUAAUGUCUUGUUGAGUAAUACAUGUGUGUGUGUGUGUGUGGGGGGGUCUUUUCUUUGUAGGUGCAGGGAAAGGAGGAGAUGAACUAGGAUCAGAGGCACAUGAGACAACACCUUACAACUACUGGUAGCUUUGCUUCUACUAAAUUACUGCUGAAAUAAAGUACGUCUUGGCAGUAUAGAACCCAGUGAUUUCACAAUGGAUAGAACAGGUAUGCAACAAGGCAAGAGAUGCAUGCUUGACAGGUUAAAAACAAAUUUACGAGCACAAAUUGGAAGUUUUACAAGGGAGCAUAGUAAUGUGUUCCAGACAUAUAAGAUACAGCAGCAUUAAUUUUCCAAUAAAGGCUGAAUUAGCAGCAUGGGUUACAUACAAAUCUCAUAAUUCUUUAGAGCACAAUGAUGUGCUAUGAACGCCUCUAAGGAACAUAGCACCAAAUCCUAGCCCACAGACACAGGGCAAUUUAAUCACACUAAUAAGGUGACAGGAAUUAUUUACUCAUUUAUUCCUAUUUUAAUGCAACCAUUCAAAGAAAUGCUGAGUUUCCUUGUUCCUCAAGAACACUUAUAGGUGUUGACAUAUGAAGAGUGAUUAAAUGCAUUUGGAUUCAACAGGCUCAUAAAGGGAAAUAGAGGUAGGUAUAUAGGCAGACUCUGGAAAGAAGCAAGGUAGAAAUCCACCAAGACAGCUAUGGGAACACUGAAGAGGCUACGUAGGGAAAAUGAGAGUGAAGGAGACUUCAUGGGAAAGAUCUAAGUAAAGAGCAGUACCUCUCCACCCAACUAUAAUUUAGUCUUCUAAAUCCUUCAAAAAUUAUCAGUGAUAUUAACUUAUUAAUAUUUAGCUUUUUACUAACCUAGGUAUUAGUAAUAAAAUAAAAGUGUAACAUUGCAAUUUUACUCUACUGUAGCAGGUUGGCUGGGGUAUAUGUGGAACUGAGAAAAAUUUAAAUAAUGUUUCCCUUGGUGACUAGAGUGUAUAAUAGGAAAACUGGGCUAAAUUUAAAAGGUGAUAUUAUACACAGACUCCGUGGAAAAUGUCACCUUACAAAAAGAUUGCAUUAGCGUACUAUACCAAUUAGGUCUUAUUUAUAUAGUAAGUUGGGCUAAGCUCAGCACAGAUAUAAAGAUAUAGCUUAAAAAAUGAUUCGGAACUCAUGCCUGGAGGAGAAUUAUAAAACAAGACUGUUUAUUUCUGAAUUCAGGAUGCAUUCAUACACAAUUAUACAUGUUAAUAAAAAUAACGCAAUCUGAAUCAGUUCUUUCUCCAUACUCUUUACAAAAUAGAUCACUUCCAUCUCAGCUGUGAUUGAUGGCUAAGUCUGACUUGCUUUGCCUUUACAGUGCUGCCAAACUGGAGUGAUUUUCCACAGAUGUGAUAGAACCCUGGUAAGUACUCACUUCUGCUGCUCGUGUCCACUGGACUUAAUUGUCUCAGCUUGCUCCUCUGGUUUUCCCCAUCCUACAUCUCAAAAGCCAUCUUUAGUCAUUAAUUGCACAUUAAUUAAAUGUGCAUAUAUGUCCAUAUGUAUUAUGCAUGUGCUCUUCUAUUUUAGCUACAGACAAUUAUCUCUACAACCUGGAACUUAAAUUAUCUUUUAGUUUCUCAAGUGUAAAGAGUUGAGUUUUUCUUUCUCCUAAUCUAUCGUGUAUGUUCUCAGCCCGUCUUACUUCUUACUAUUCUUUCAAGCAUUGUGACUUAUUGUGUCUUUUUUUUAUUAUAGUUUCUGCCAAUUCAUAAGACAUAGUUGAUUUGCUUGUCUUCUACCCAAUGAAGCACUAAGAAGCAUAUCUCCUACUGUAUGUAAUUAUAUUUUCUUUUAUUAAAAAAGUUAAAUGGUA